GACGAACCGAGCGAACGUUGUUCGGAAUCACUGGGCUUAAAGGGCGCGUAGGCGGGCAUCAUAGUCUGUGGUGAAAUUCGGCAGCUUAACUGUCGAAUUGCCAUGGAUACUGGGUGUCUCGAGGGAGGCAGGGGUGCGCGGAACUGAUGGUGGAGCGGUGAAAUGCGUUGAUAUCAUCAGGAACUCCGGUGGCGAAGGCGGCGCACUGGUCCUUUUCUGACGCUGAGGCGCGAAAGCCAGGGGAGCAAACGGG
rnacentral:rRNA from 1 species